rnacentral:rRNA from 1 species
CCCUUAGAUGUCCUGGGCCGCACGCGCGCUACACUGAGUGUCUGAGAUACGAGUCUGCCUGGUCCGGCAAGGUCUAGGUAAUCGCUAAAAGACACAUCAUGCUUGGGAUAGAUUAUUGCAAAUAUUAAUCUUGAACGAAGAAUUCCUAGUAAGCGCAAGUCAACAGCUUGCGUUGAUUACGUCCCUGCCCUUUGUACACACCGCCCGUCGCUACUACUGAUUGGAUGUUUAAGCGAGGUUCUCGAACUGCUAGCGACUUAGCUUCGGUGAGGUCGCAGUGUGGGAAGUGAACCUAGCUUUGGUGUCUAGAGGAAGUAAAAGUCGUAACA